GGGGUUUCACCAUGUUGUUCAGGCUGGUCUCUAACUCUUGACCUCAGGUGAUACACCCGCCUCAGCCUCCCAAAGUGCUGGAAUUACAGGUGUGAGCCACCGCGCCUGGCCUAGUUCUUGAUUGAACUGUUGUAACCCAUAUGGACUGACUUUGUGGUAACUCAUCCACUGCGAUUUAUGCCCUUCUCAAUCAAAUGACCUCCCUCUCCUUCCCUCUUCCUCCCUCUUAAAACAAAAAAGUAGGGACAUUCAUAAAACCUUCAAGUCUAAAUCAAGUUUUUGAGACUUACACAGGAAAAAAUAGGUACAGUGUAAGACAUUCUAAAUUUAGCUCAAUAUUCUUAACAUGCAGGAACAACUCUAUGGAGAAAUCCCUUCACCCUCCAAUGUUCAACUCAGCAACAUUUUAAACUCUGUUCACAUCCAAUAAAGACCUGCUUAUUGUAUCAUCAAAAAGGUAUGCAUGCAAUCCAUCUCAAGAAGAGGCUUACCUGCACAGUGACUAGGGUUUACUGCAAUGACAAAGUCAUUUCAUGCCUUGACCGAAAAUAGCCUUAGACUGGGUAAAAACUGGGCAUUCUCUGCAGUGGUUCCUAAGAGAAGCUGAGGUUAGUGUGGAAUUAAAUAUCCUUAUCUGCAUGGGUAGACUUAACUUCCAAAAGUCGUACAGAAGACAACAGAGUUCCGGGUAAUAUGGCCCAUAUAUCGGAGGUUUAAAGCUGAUGCCCAUGGUGCUUGUGAGCAAAAAUACACAUUUAGCCAGGCGGGGGAGCUCAGGCCUAUAAUCCCAGCACCACGCCCAUCCUAAUGUCUUAAUGGACAAAUAAAUAAAUUCUCUCUUUUUUUUUUUUUUUUUUUUUUUUUGAGACAGAGUCUCACUCUGUCGCCCAGGCUGGAGUGCAGUGGCGCAAACUCGGCUCACUGCAAGCUCCACCUCCCGGGUUCACACCAUUCUCCUGCCUCAGCCUCCAGAGUAGCUGUGAUUACAGGAGCCCGCCAUCACGCCCAGCUAAUUUUUUUGUAUUUUUUAGUAGAGACAGGGUUUUACCGUGUUAGCCAGGAUGGUCUCGACCUCCUGACCUCAUGAUCCGCCUGCCUCAGCCUCCCAAAGAGUUGAGAUUACAGGUGUGAGCCACCGCGCCCGGCCAAUAAAUUCUCUUUUAAUACUAGCAACAACAGAGACAAGUAUCUUUCUGUUCUUGUCAAACCAAUGACUGCAGCUCUGUAUGUUUCCGGAGUGAUUUAAACUUGCCAGAUGAGCUUUUAGCCAGUCAAACUGAUUUUCCUUUGAGCCUAGAUUCCUCAUGUGGAAAAGCUCCCAGAAAAGCUUGACUAGAUAAGAAAAAAGUGAUGUCUAGACAAUUCUGCGUUAGCCUUCUGCUGGGAAAACCUCCAGCUGUUUCACUGAACCUCAUACAACCAAAUCAUAGUUCACAUUUCACAGAUUCCUCACCAGGGUUUUGACAUCUUGGGGGAAAAGAACUGAAGAAGGGUGGGCAAGACAUCUGACUAUAGGGCGGUUUCUAAUAAAGCAAUAAGUACAAACAAUUCCAAGAAAACUAGGAUGUCACUGGUCCCUGUGGUCACCAAACAAGAAGGAUGUCUGUCCUAUGUAAGGACACUGAAGAGGGGAAAAAGUGCGUAAUCCUAAUUUAAUUAUAAUAUUUUUUCCUAUAAUCAGAGAGGAGAAAGUCACCCAAGCUUGAAGCCAAAAUUAUAAAUUUCAUUGUCCACACAAAUUGUACAAGAUUUCCCUUGAGCAGACUGCAGGGAGGUGGGCUCUUGUUAUCCUUCCUUCCUUUCAACUCUUCCAUUUCUGUCUGUAAUUUCCCCACCUUUGUUUCCAUAUAACUUCACCAUCCUUGCUCCUAUAUGGCCACAAAGAAAAUUCUGAGAAAAGAGUUGAAAUACCCCAGUUAAAUAGAUUCCUUCCUUGUCUAUUAAGAAGACAUCACUCUUAUUUACUUUCUGUACCUUGGCUCUAAGCUAUAAGUUCAUCUGUCUUUUCUAUGCUAUAGGCAGUACAGAGCAUGGGCCAGCCUGAAAUGGCAGGCCUGCAAAAAUUGAUAUGCCAAAUGAGAAAUAAGAAAACUUGCUUUCAACUAACAUGAAAUCCCGGAAUAACCUUUGAAUUUCCAUGACACCAUUCAUCUAGGGAUAAGAGGGGAAGGCAGAAGGGGGCAUUCCUGUGUCCAUUUGGUGUACCCCUGCAACAGGCUAUUACCACUUACUGCAAUGCAUUAAAGGUAGGACAGACAGCUAGGAAACGAACUGGUCUCUGUCCAGUCGAAGAAUUAGUCAACACAAAUCUACAGAAGUCACCUUGAGCUUGGUACUAUCUACCCAUAAUGCAUUUCCCCUCACCUCUUUAAAUUCAUUCAGUUAUUCAGCCCCUCCCUUCCUGGGUGGUAACUACAACUGUU
rnacentral:lncRNA from 10 species